rnacentral:misc_RNA from 1 species
AAGUCGUAACAAGGUUUCCGUAGGUGAACCUGCGGAAGGAUCAUUAAAUAAUCAAUAAUUUUGGCUCGUCCAUUAUUAUCUAUUUACUGUGAACUGUAUUAUUACUUGACGCUUGAGGGAUUCUCCACUGCUAUAAGGAUAGGCGGUGGGGAUGUUAACCGAGUCAUAGUCAAGCUUAGGCUUGGUAUCCUAUUAUUAUUUACCAAAAGAAUUCAGAAUUAAUAUUGUAACAUAGACCUAAAAAAUCUAUAAAACAACUUUUAACAACGGAUCUCUUGGUUCUC